rnacentral:rRNA from 1 species
UUAAUUCGAUGAUCCGCGAAAAACCUUACCACAGCUUGUAUAGCAGUUAUGAAAAAUUGUUACAAGCGCUGCAUGGCUGUCUUUAGUUAAUGUCGUGAGAUUUGGUUAACUCCUCUAAUUAACGAAAACCCUCACUUUAUUUAUAUAUAUAAAGUGGUUCGCUAUUACAUUGGUUGAUAAUAGGGAUUAAGACAAGUCAUUAUGGCCUAAAUGCUGUGGGCUAUAGACGUGCCACAUACGCCUUUACAAAGGGAUGCGAUAUUGUGAAAUG